rnacentral:rRNA from 1 species
UAGGGAAUCUUCGGCAAUGGGGGCAACCCUGACCGAGCAACGCCGCGUGAGGGAAGAAGGUUUUCGGAUCGUAAAGCUCUGUUGUAAGAGAAGAACGUGUGUGAGAGUGGAAAGUUCACACAGUGACGGUAACUUACCAGAAAGGGACGGCUAACUACGUGCCAGCAGCCGCGGUAAUACGUAGGUCCCGAGCGUUGUCCGGAUUUAUUGGGCGUAAAGCGAGCGCAGGCGGUUUAAUAAGUCUGAAGUUAAAGGCAGUGGCUUAACCAUUGUUCGCUUUGGAAACUGUUAAACUUGAGUGCAGAAGGGGAGAGUGGAAUUCCAUGUGUAGCGGUGAAAUGCGUAGAUAUAUGGAGGAACACCGGUGGCGAAAGCGGCUCUCUGGUCUGUAACUGACGCUGAGGCUCGAAAGCGUGGGGAGCAAACAGG